rnacentral:lncRNA from 1 species
UAAAACAGUGAGUUGUCUGUGGCAAUGCUGAAAUAUGUGAACCUUACCGCAACAGAGACAUCAUUUGUUUAUUUGACUUUAUUAGAAAAAGACUAGAUGUUCACUGCUGGAACCGUAUCAUCACUCCUUCCUUCCACGGUGCCACAAAAUCUUCAGUGUAAAUAAAUCACAAAUUGAAAGCUCAAAUCACAGAAGAAAAAAAAUGAUGGCUUAUAGACUUAUCCAUUUUCUUAUUAAUUGUUAAAAGUAAUAAUAGUAAUAAUGCCAGAGUCUGCUAUAGCCAUCAGGAAUAUAGCAAAACCAAAUAGGAACUCACAGGGAAAAAAAGCAACAUUUGUUUAUGUUAAUGGUGGUAAGUGCUUUUUAGCAAAACCAAUUAACAGAAGGGUAAGGAGCAGGAAGAAGGGGUGUAAUUUCAAAUGGGGUGACCUGGGAAGUCUCACUAAGAAGGUUGCAUCACAAUUACGGUAAACUUGACCCUCAGUAACUACUGAAAUCCAGAAAUUGUUCUGGACUGAUGGUGAAAUCCACAAGGUUUGAAAAUGAUCAAGUGACCUACAUGAGGACAAUUUUCUCUUGCAUUAGGAAUUAUAUCUUACCCACACCUUAUGACUCAGAAGAGAAAAGAGACUUGGAGCCAGAUUGGUACACUGGGAGUUUGUUGGCACUGCUGCUGAGAGGGACGAGCCCGAGAAAAUGAAAGUAGAACUUGGCAAACAAGAAUGGAUCCUGCAGUUCAGUAGUCCAAAGCCAACAGCCAGUCCCUUGUAGAAUUUUGAAGGUGGGAUGACACUUCAACAUUCUGCUCAGCUGAGACAAGCGGUUCCCUUUGACCAAAGGCAUAUCUGAGGCUGGGAAUUUAUCCGUGACUUGUUACCAGCCAAUGUGGCAGCCAGGACAUGAAUUCCAUGGCUGUGAAAGAGAACUUGGAAGACCUCAGCAUCUGCAGCAGACAGUACGGCUUCAUCUCUGAUACAAGAAUGGUGAAAGAUGCACGGACUUCACUGUGUCGCUGCAUAGGUUGGAGUGUGGGGUGGCAUGCCCUUUCAAAACUGAAAAUCUGGAACCACAUUGCAGUCUGCGUGUUUAUUAAAGUGCAACCUCUACCAAGAAGCUCCGCCCACUUCAGCAUCUACCAGGAAGCUCCUCCUACUUCAGCAUCCACCAGGAUGAUGCUCCUGCUUCAGCUUGCACUUGACGUGAAUGAGAAGUCAAAUGCUAUCCUAAUUCCUAUCCCCUUAAGCCAUUAAAAAUUAAGAUUUCUCAGCUGGGCAGUGGUGGCACAUGCCUUAAAUCCCAGCAAUUGGGAUGCAGAGGCAGGUGGCUCUCUGUGAGUGCGAGGCCAGCCUAGUCUACAGAGAGUUUUCCAGGACAGGCUCCAAAGUCACACAGAGGAACCCUGUCUCAAAAACAAAAAUAAGAUUUCUCUUUAAAGUGAGUAGUUAUCACUCUGAAGUGCCUUUCUUUUAUGUCAAUGAUCUCUUUUUCCUAAUUUGUGAAACCAGACUGAUUCCUGACCCAACAGGUCAGUCCUAUCCUUGAAAGGAGCAAUUUUGAUGAGGAAGGUGGGUUGUGAUACUAAAAAACACUAGUACAGGGUUUACCAUGUGAACAUGCAGUUGUUAGAACACAGUAAGUACGAGGCUUGUUUCAACUCUACUACUAACUCAGUGAGCUGACUUCACCCACAUAUGGUCUCCUUGAGCACCAGCCCCCUCCUCUUGGAGCCAGAGCUUUAGGUGAGAUUAAUUACCUCCAAAGUCUUUUGCAACUAUAGUAUGUUCUCCUUAAUGCUUCAUGCUAUACCUACAAAGCAACUCUUACACAGUGAAAGAGAAUUUCCCUGAAUGAUUUUUGCAAUUGAAUAACCUAAUGCCAAAAAUGUCAGUGACAAUUCUGAGAUACCCUGCUUAGUACCCUGACAUCAUGGGAACACACACACACACACACACACACACACACACACACACACACACACACACACACACACACACAUAUAAAAGGAUAGUGCUUAAAAGUUAAUCCUUUGUUCUGUUUUGUUGAGGAGGGCAUGCCAGUGGCAUUCUCUACCAAAAAUUUUUAAAGGUUUCACGAUUUCUGGGAUUAGUGUAAUCCAAGAUUAUACUGUGUAUAAUCAUGCAUUAGAUAUUCAAGUGGACUGGUGUCAAAGUCAAAUUGUAUGAAUUCAUAUCUUAAUUCUACAAUUAUUUUAGCUGGAAGCUAAUAUUUACCUUAGAAAGUUUGUAAAAAGGGUUUUUCAAAUACCACAUACAUGUAACUCAAGCACUUAAAAAUUCAAUAAACAUUCAA